GUGCCAGCAGCCGCGGUAAUACGUAGGUGGCAAGCGUUAUCCGGAAUUGUUGGGCGUAAAGCGCGCGUAGGCGGUUUUUUAAGUCUGAUGUGAAAGCCCACGGCUCAACCGUGGAGGGUCAUUGGAAACUGGAAAACUUGAGUGCAGAAGAGGAAAGUGGAAUUCCAUGUGUAGCGGUGAAAUGCGCAGAGACAUGGAGGAACACCAGUGGCGAAGGCGACUUUCUGGUCUGUAACUGACGCUGAUGUGCGAAAGCGUGGGGAUCAAACA
rnacentral:rRNA from 1 species